UACGAAGGGGGCUAGCGUUGCUCGGAUUUACUGGGCGUAAAGGGCGCGUAGGCGGACAGUUAAGUCGGGGGUGAAAGCCCGGGGCUCAACCUCGGAAUUGCCUUCGAUACUGGCUGUCUUGAGUGUGAGAGAGGUGUGUGGAACUCCGAGUGUAGAGGUGAAAUUCGUAGAUAUUCGGAAGAACACCAGUGGCGAAGGCGGCUCACUGGACCGGUAUUGACGCUGAGGUGCGAAAGCGUGGGGAGCAAACAGG
rnacentral:rRNA from 1 species